CCAUAGUAGGCUCCAGUUGGACACUGGCAGCUGCUGGUCCUUGGCAGUGACCUGUGAGGUCACCUGUCUAGAAGACAGGAAAGGACCUGAUAAAGUUGUGUCUCUUUUGGCAGGGAGGUAGUAGGGGAAGAGUCUCCUGACCAGUUUCCUCCGUGACUCCAGGCUCUGUCCUCUAGGAAUAGCCCAUCCUUUUUGUACUCCGCCUGCUAUAGCCAAGGUGGGCAUCAGUGUGUGCUGCUGGGGGGCUUGGCUCCCUGCCUGCGGGUAGACAUUCCUGGUCAAGACCUGUCAUGUCAAAGGUAGUGUACCAGGCUCGUGGGUCUUGCUUGGCAGUGUUCUGAGCUCUUUGCUUCCCAUCAGUUCCACAUACAAAUAAUUGCAUUAUUUUGGUUAGAGAAUUACUUUUGAUCCUCCAGUGGUUGCGUCUCCCAGUAUGGUCUUCUCCUACACAGACUUGGAGUGGCCAGUGGGACAUGAGAGCAGGCAAGAGGUAAGCAGGGCCUGCGUGUGGCUGGUCCUCAUGGUAUGACCUACUGGCAGCCUGGCUAGUGGGCUAUGAGAAGUUCAAAUGCAUGGAGAGGCCAAGUGGUGGAGAACUGAGGUGCUCUGGGCAGUGACCCCAGAUAAGCUGUCAGAUAAUAGCACCUAGGAGUGAGCACAGUACCGCUAUGAACAACAAUAAUAAGUUGUCUUAAAUUGCAGAGUUUGGGGGUAAUUUGUUAACACAGCAAUAGAUUACAGGAGCAUACGAAGUUCUUUCUCAGGAGCUGCCAAAUCCCCUUGCUGCCCUUCCCCCUCUCUUCCCUCAACUUAAUGGUAGUCCUCACGGGUCUAUGGGAUCACCAUGGGAGGGCCACCCCCUCAUCCAACUGAAUGAAAGACUAGUUAUUUUGUUCAAAUGAGUAGUAAUUUUUAUUAGGAAUUUAUUAUUCAGAGCAAUUUUCAAUCUUGCCUCCUCAUUGGUUCUAGAUACAGUCUCCUUUUUCAACAUUUUGACCCAAAACUUGAGAUUGUUUUUGUUCCCUUUCACUUCUGCUUGCUAAGUGGUCAGUUCUUUCCUGAGUACAAACAUCAUUGACAGCAGCUAGCUCCCACUGUAUAUUCUACUAUCUGUCUCUGUCUCCUAGAGUUGUUGAUUUGGCACAAACCGACUUUCAUCUUGGGUGACAUCAUCUGCUUGUGUGGUAUGAGUUUCCUGCUGUCCAUCCAGUUAUCUGUGCUCAGUUCCUGACUGCCCAAUUGGUGCCCCUUAAAGUAGUUUUUGUUUUGGGUUACAGCAGAAAUCUACCCCUAAUAGCAAUUAUCAUGCCUAGGCUAUGUAGGAACAAACACAUCUCAAACUGCUUGAGGCUAAACACAAUAAAAGUGUUUUUCUCACAAAAUGCCCAACAGCUGGGAACUGUGAGAUUCGUGUUUUUGUUUGUUUGCACCGGGGAUUGAACCCACAGGCACUUAACUACUGAGCCACAUCCCCAGCCCUUUUUUGUAUUUUAUUGAGACAGAGUCUCAUUGAUUUGCUUAGGGCCUCACUAAAUUGCUGAGGUUUGCUUUGAAAUAGCAAUCUCCUGCCUUAGCCUCCAGAGCCACAGGUUACUACACGCAGCUCUCCUUCAUGAUGCUGCCAUCUUCAACACAUAGUUCAAAGGGCUCACUCUGUUGACAGGAACAAGAAGGAUUACUCAGGCAGUUAAGUAGGUCAGACCUCUAAGAAGUGAGCAUUUUUUUGGUCAGAACCACUUGUUUGGAUCUACAAGGGGCCUGGGCAAUGUCUUCCAAAGUGUGCCCAGGAGAAAAUGGAAAUGGUCUGGUGAGCACAUCAUUGUGACAGGAGUGAACCAAGGAGCCAUAUGCCUCAACUGCUCUUCGUGUAGAUGGUUACUCAUCCAUCUUGCUUCCCAUGUCCCAGGCACAUAUUCAAGCUGUCAGUCUCCAAAGUUCCCCAUUGCAUAGUUCUCAGUGACUAGCAGGGGCACAAGGGACUCUCCUAGCUGAUGGUGAUGUUCUUUGCCUCAGCACCGGGGUAUGCAUUUGUAAAAACUCAGAUGUAGCACACUUAGGAUUUAUGUAUUUUGUUGGAUAUAAAUCUUCAAAAGAAAGAACAAAAUGGGCUGGGGCUGUAGCUCAGUGGUAGAGCACUUGCCUAGCAUGUGUGAGGCACUGGGUUUGAUCCUCAGCACCACAUAAAAAAAUAAAAUAAAGGUAUUGUGUCAACUAAAAAUUUUUUUUAAGAAAGAAAGAACAAGGGCUGGGGCUGUAGCUCAGUGGUAAAUUGCCUGCCUCCUAUGUGUGAGGUACUGGGUUCAAUCCUCAGCAACACAUAAAAAUAAAUUAAGAUACUGUGUGUUCAUCAAUAACCAAAUAAACAUUUUAAAAAGAAAGAACAAUAUUGAAC
rnacentral:lncRNA from 1 species